UUGCAGGCUACAGCCAUCCUGCGUGUUCUUAGUGCAGCACCUUUAUAUACGUUCUUUCUAGAACAAGGGCAAUUUACAGCUUUGGUCCAUUAGAGGGAAAAAGGUGAUCAAGAAGAAAUCAUUGUUCUGCUUGGGAACAAAACUGAUGUUGUUGACAAGAGGUGCGUGGUUCAGAAAUUUUCUUGUUUUCUGUAGCCUUUUCCUGUUGUCUUGCUUAUCCGAUGGAUUUUAAUCACUAAAAUUGGGAUUCAGUUAAUUGAACGUUAAACACAUAGCUCUCUUUUCCCUGUUGAAGCGCAUCUUCCAUGGGUCUGUAACAGCUCUGCCUGCUCAAGGUUGGUCGUGAGCACAACUUACAUUCACAUUUUCAGCAUGGUUUUCUCCUCUAUUACUAAUCAUUGAACUCAUUAUUUUCUUUGAUGAAAACUCUACUUGUUUUUUGCAAGUUCUCUCUGUUUUAUUAAUUUGAUAUCUGAAUUGUGUUUUAGGAGCCUAUAUAAAAUUAUAAAAUUAUGGUGUGAAAUAUGAACGUAUCAAUAAUUGUUUUUCAUGAAACUUCUAACGAACAUUUUUCUGUACCUUUUAUAUAUUUUGCCCUUAUGAUUUAUUCAUUACUCAAAGAAUAAGCAAUCUUUGUUGGUAAGUAAGUAUACUGGGUAUGCAUUGAUAUGGAAAAACUUUGAGCAAACAUUUUUUUCACUUCCUUCGAAGCGUAAUACUACAAUGUUGUGAUUCUACUCUUCAAUCUCAGUAGACGAUGACAACCCAGAGAGUUUCUACAGCCAAAAUGUGAUACAUCAAGUCCUUCAAGUUUUAAGCUGCAGCAGCUUUUGCACCACUGCACCAACCUGUUUGUAUCAUUUAGACAUCACUUGCUUGGAUGCCAUCCUCACACCGUUGUAUAUGUCAGAUUAUUUUCAUAAAACCAUUAAAUUCCAUUUAAAUUCUUUGUACUUUAAGAUUUGUGAAUAUGUUUUCUCCUAUAUUUCUGAGGCUGUGCAAACUCAUUUUUAGAGAUCAACAUGUCUUGAGUAAACUA